rnacentral:rRNA from 1 species
GACGAACGCUGGCGGCGUGCCUAAUACAUGCAAGUCGAACGAGAGCGACCGGUGCUUGCACUGGUCAAUCUAGUGGCGAACGGGUGAGUAACACGUGGGUAACCUGCCCAUCAGAGGGGGAUAACAUUCGGAAACGGAUGCUAAAACCGCAUAGGUUCUUGAGUCGCAUGACUGAAGAAGGAAAAGAGGCUUCGGCUUCUGCUGAUGGAUGGACCCGCGGUGCAUUAGCUAGUUGGUGAGGUAACGGCUCACCAAGGCCGUGAUGCAUAGCCGACCUGAGAGGGUGAUCGGCCACAUUGGGACUGAGACACGGCCCAAACUCCUACGGGAGGCAGCAGUAGGGAAUCUUCCGCAAUGGACGCAAGUCUAACGGAGCAACGCCGCGUGAGUGAAGAAGGAUUUCGGUUCGUAAAACUCUGUUGUUAGAGAAGAACAGCGCAUAGAGUAACUGUUAUGCG